UUCCUCGUAGUCGAAUGGUACAGACAGCAGACUUUGACUCUGCGCGUUGCUGGUUCAAGUCCAGCCGAGGAAGCCA
rnacentral:tRNA from 1 species